GAGUUUGAUCCUGGCUCAGAACGAACGCUGGCGGCAGGCUUAACACAUGCAAGUCGAACGAGAAACCCUUUCGGGGGUGGACAGUGGCAGACGGGUGAGUAACGCGUGGGAAACUACCUAGAGGUACGGGACAACCAUUGGAAACGAUAGCUAAUACCGCAUAACCCCUUCGGGGCAAAGGCUUCGGCCGUUUUUAGAUGAGCCCGCGUUAGAUUAGGCUGUUGGUGAGGUAAUGGCUCACCAAACCUACAAUCUAUAGCUGGUCUGAGAGGAUGAUCAGCCACACUGGGACUGAGACACGGCCCAGACUCCUACGGGAGGCAGCAGUGGGGAAUAUUGGACAAUGGGGGAAACCCUGAUCCAGCAAUGCCGCGUGAGUGAUGAAGGCCUUAGGGUUGUAAAGCUCUUUCAGAAGUGAAGAUGAUGACGGUAACUUCAGAAGAAGCUCCGGCUAACUCCGUGCCAGCAGCCGCGGUAAUACGGAGGGAGCUAGCGUUGUUCGGAAUUACUGGGCGUAAAGAGCGUGUAGGCUGUUAGGUAAGUCAGAGGUGAAAUCCCUAAGCUCAACUUAGGAACUGCCUUUGAUACUAUCUUACUAGAGAUCGAGAGAAGUUGGCGGAAUUCCAAGUGUAGAGGUGAAAUUCGUAGAUAUUUGGAAGAACACCAGUGGCGAAAGCGGCCAACUGGCUCGUUUCUGACGCUAAGACGCGAAAGCGUGGGUAGCAAACAGGAUUAGAUACCCUGGUAGU
rnacentral:rRNA from 1 species